AUACGAUCACCGAAGUUAAACUAAGUUGAGCCUGGUUAGUAACUAGAUGGGUGACCGCUUGGGAAUACCAGGUGCUGGAA